rnacentral:pre_miRNA from 1 species
GCUCCCUGAGACCCUUUGAUUGCCUUGUUAUUACAAUACUGUACAUAACAUGAUCAGGCAGCCAAAGUGACUCAGGUAUGCA